rnacentral:rRNA from 1 species
AUUGAACGCUGGCGGCAGGCCUAACACAUGCAAGUCGAGCGGAUGAAGGGAGCUUGCUCCUGGAUUCAGCGGCGGACGGGUGAGUAAUGCCUAGGAAUCUGCCUGGUAGUGGGGGAUAACGUCCGGAAACGGGCGCUAAUACCGCAUACGUCCUGAGGGAGAAAGUGGGGGAUCUUCGGACCCCACGCUAUCAGAUGAGCCUAGGUCGGAUUAGCUAGUUGGUGGGGUAAAGGCCUACCAAGGCGACGAUCCGUAACUGGUCUGAGAGGAUGAUCAGUCACACUGGAACUGAGACACGGUCCAGACUCCUACGGGAGGCAGCAGUGGGGAAUAUUGGACAAUGGGCGAAAGCCUGAUCCAGCCAUGCCGCGUGUGUGAAGAAGGUCUUCGGAUUGUAAAGCACUUUAAGUUGGGAGGAAGGGCAGUAAGUUAAUACCUUGCUGUUUUGACGUUACCAACAGAAUAAGCACCGGCGAACUUCGU